rnacentral:rRNA from 1 species
UGAGGAAUAUUGGGCAAUGCCCGCAAGGGUGACCCAGCAACGCCGCGUGGAGGAUGAAUGUCGUAAGAUUGUAAACUCCUGUUAGAGGGGAAGAAUAGUACCGGUUGGACCGGUAUAUGACUGUACCCUCAGAGAAAGCCCCGGCUAACUACGUGCCAGCAGCCGCGGUAAUACGUAUGGGGCAAGCGUUGUCCGGAUUUACUGGGUGUAAAGGGCGCGCAGGCGGGAUAAAAAGUCAGUGGUGAAAUCCUACAGCUUAACUGUAGAACUGCCUUUGAUACUUUUAUUCUUGAGUUCGGGAGAGAGAGACGGAAUUCCAGGUGUAGUGGUGAAAUACGUAGAUAUCUGGAAGAACACCAGUUGCGAAGGCGGUCUCUUGGUCCGACACUGACGCUGAGGCGCGAAAGCGUGGGGAGCAAACA